UGAGUACGAGAUGCUACGGCAUCGAAGCAGUCUAUGUCAUACUUCCAAGAAAAGCUUGCACUGUCAUAAACAAAUAAUGCCUGAACCAUAACCGACACAGGUGGGUAGGUAGAGUAUACUAAGGGGCGCGAGAUAACUCUCUCUAAGGAACUCGGCAAAAUGACUCCGUAACUUCGGGAGAAGGAGUGCCUUAUUUUAUAAGGUUGCAAUAACAAGAUCCAAGCAACUGUUUACCAAAAACACAGGUCUCCGCUAAGUCGUAAGACGAUGUAUGGGGGCUGACGCCUGCCCAGUGCCAGAAGGUUAAAGAAGUUGGUUAGCAUUAGCGAAGCUGAUAACUGAAGCCCUGGUGAACGGCGGCCGUAACGAUAACGGUCCUAAGGUAGCGAAAUUCCCUGUCGGGUAAGUUCCGACCCGCACGAAAGGCGUAAUGAUUUGGAUACUGUCUCGGAGAGGGGCUCGGUGAAAUAGACUUGUCUGUGAAGAUGCGGACUACCUGCACCAGGACAGAAAGACCCUAUGAAGCUUUACUGUAACUUGAGAUUGAAAUUGGACUUUAUUUGCGCAGUAUAGGUGGGAGACGUUGAAAAUAUUCUUGCGGGAAUAUUGGAGUCAUCAGUGAGAUACCACUCUUAUAAUGUUAGAUUUCUAACUUUGUAUCAUUAUCUGGUCAAAGAACAGUCUCAGGCGGGCAGUUUGACUGGGGCGGUCGCCUCCCAAACGGUAACGGAGGCGCACAAAGGUUUCCUCUGAACGUGUAGAAAUCGUAUCUAGAGUGUAAAGGCAUAAGGAGGCUUGACUGUGAGACCUACAAGUCGAGCAGGGACGAAAGUCGGUCUUAGUGAUCUGACGGUGCUGAGUGGAAAGGCCGUCACUCAACGGAUAAAAGUUACUCUAGGAUAACAGGCUGAUCUCCCCCAAGAGUUCACAUCGACGGGGAGGUUUGGCACCUCGAUGUCGGCUCAUCGCAUCCUGGGGCGGUAGUACGUCCCAAGGGUUGGGCUGUUCGCCCAUGAAAGCGGUACGCGAGCUGGGUUCAGAACGUCGUGAGACAGUUCGGUCCAUAUCCGGUGUAGGCGUUAGAAUAUUGAGAGGAGCCUUCUUUAGUACGAGAGGACCGAGAAGGACAUACCUCUGGUGUACCAGUUAUCGUGCCAACGGUAAACGCUGGGUAGCUAUGUAUGGAGAGGAUAACCGCUGAAAGCAUCUAAGUGGGAAGCCCACCUCAAGAUAAG
rnacentral:rRNA from 1 species